rnacentral:rRNA from 1 species
AGAGUUUGAUCAUGGCUCAGAACGAACGUUGGCGGCGUGGAUUAGGCACGCAAGUCGAACGAAUCCCAGUUUUGUAGCAAUACAGAGCUGGGGGAAGUGGCGAAAGGGGCAGUAAUGCGUGGGUAACCUACCUCCGGGACGUGGAUAGCCAUUCUAACGAGUGGGUAAUACGCGGCGAUUUGAUUGAGGGGCAUCCCUUGGUCAGGAAAUGAAUUUCGCCUGGAGAGGGGCUCACGUGAUAUUAGCUAGUUGGUAGGGUAACGGCCUACCAAGGCGAAGAUGUCUAGCGGGUGUGAGAGCACGACCCGCGCCACUGGCACUGAGACACUGGCCAGACACCUACGGGUGGCUGCAGUCGAGGAUCUUUGGCAAUGAGCGCAAGCUUGACCAAGCGACGCCGCGUGUGCGAUGAAGGCCUUCGGGUUGUAAAGCACUGUCGAGGGGGACGAAGCCGAAAGGUUGACCGAUCCCUGGAGGAAGCACGGGCUAAGUUCGUGCCAGCAGCCGCGGUAAGACGAACCGUGCGAACGUUGUUCGGAAUCACUGGGCUUAAAGGGCGCGUAGGCGGCUUGCCAAGUCAGUGGUGAAAUCCUGCAGCUUAACUGCAGAAGUGCCUUUGAUACUGGCGAGCUCGAGGGAGGUAGGGGUAUGUGGAACUUCUGGUGGAGCGGUGAAAUGCGUUGAUAUCAGAAGGAACGCCGGUGGCGAAAGCGACGUACUGGACCUCUUCUGACGCUGAGGCGCGAAAGCUAGGGGAGCAAACGGGAUUAGAUACCCCGGGUAGUCCUAGCCCUAAACGAUGGGUACUAGGUUGUGGACUAACAUGGGUUCACAGCCGAAGCAAAAGUGUUAAGUACCCCGCCUGGGGAGUAUGGUCGCAAGGCUGAACUCAAGGAAUUGACGG